GCGAGUUUAGCUCAGUUGGGAGAGCGUCAGACUGAAGUCCACUUCAGCCCUACAUCUGAAGGUCAUGUGUUCGAUCCACAUAAACCGCA
rfam:Magnaporthe oryzae 70-15 chromosome 5, whole genome shotgun sequence.